rnacentral:rRNA from 1 species
UACGAAGGGGCUAGCGUUGCUCGGAAUCACUGGGCGUAAAGGGUGCGUAGGCGGGUUUUAAGUCAGAGGUGAAAUCCUGGAGCUCAACUCCAGAACUGCCUUUGAUACUGAAGAAUCUUGAGUAUGGGAGAGGUGAGUGGAACUGCGAGUGUAGAGGUGAAAUUCGUAGAUAUUCGCAAGAACACCAGUGGCGAAGGCGGCUCACUGCCCAUAACUGACGCUGAGGCACGAAAGCGUGGGGAGCAAACAGG